AUGGACUUCAUUCAAGCCGAGGAACGGAUAAAAGACUCUAAAACCGUAUUUUUCCUUUGUCCCAGCACUGCUGAAAAAGCAUCGGAGGAAGGUUUUGUCACCGGCACGCCGCCUGCACAGCGCCCGCGCUGCCACAUAACGCAGCCUCGAAGAUCCGAGGCUGGUUUCCCCCCAGUCACGCUUUGCUGGGCGCCUCGCUCCGGCUGCGGGCAGGCAGCAACAGGUGCACGGUGCACGGCGCCCGCUUUGUGUACGCGGCAGCUGCGAGCGGGGCAGGGAGCGGCGCGCUCCCAGCCACAAAGCGCCCGGAGAAUAAUGCCCGGUGACGAUCAAAGCGCUCCUGAUGAGGCACAAAGCUCCAGGGAGAGAAUUCGCUCUGUGUCGCGGCCGAAAACGGCGUCGGGAGCGGGGAAGGAGCGGACGGACCGUGUGGGCAUGGCGCCGGGGCAGCCGUUCCUGCAGGAGAUUCCCUUACAUCAGAGAGCUUGA
rnacentral:lncRNA from 1 species